CUGAAUUCACCAUGUAGCCCAGGCUGGCCUGGAACUCAUGGCCAUCCUCCUGCCUCAGCCCCCUGAGUGCUAAGGUUGCAGCCCCCUUUAGUCCCCAAGGGAGCGCAAACCCUGCUCACUAUAUACAGAGAGGCAAAGCUCACAAAUGGACACUGAAGGGCAGUGAGUGGAAGAGAACAUGCACUACAGUGACUCCAUUCAUAGCAGUCUGCAAUGGGACAGCUCCAGGGUGGUGUGGACCUGACCCCCAGCCACGGUCCUGUGGAUUCGCUUUGUGUGACCUAAGCACUCUGUAUUGUGCCAGUCUUGAACAGUCUUGUUAAUAAGAAUCCAUUUGUUGGUAUUGGG